CGGCCUUGACAUACUAAGAACUUUCCAGAGAUGGAUUGGUGCCUUCGGGAACUUAGAUACAGGUGCUGCAUGGCUGUCGUCAGCUCGUGUCGUGAGAUGUUGGGUUAAGUCCCGNAACGAGCGCAACCCUUUUCCUAUUUGCCAGCGGGUCAUGCCGGGGAACUUUAAGGAUACUGCCAGUGACAAACUGGAGGAAGGCGGGGACGACGUCAAGUCAUCAUGGCCCUUACGGCCAGGGCUACACACGUGCUACAAUGGUCGGUACAAAGGGUUGCUACCUCGCGAGAGGAUGCUAAUCUCAAAAAGCCGAUCGUAGUCCGGAUCGCAGUCUGCAACUCGACUGCGUGAAGUCGGAAUCGCUAGUAAUCGCGGAUCAGAAUGCCGCGGUCGAAUACGUUCCCGGGCCUUGUACACACCGCCCGUCACACCAUGGGAGUUUGUUGCACCAGAAGUAGGUAGUCUAACCGCAAGGAGGACGCUUACCACGGUGUGGCCGAUGACUGGGGUGAAGUCGUAACAAGGUAGGCGUAGAUGA
rnacentral:rRNA from 1 species